AACGAACGCUGGCGGCAGGCCUAACACAUGCAAGUCGAACGCUCGUAGCAAUACGGGAGUGGCGCACGGGUGAGUAACGCGUGGGAACGUGCCCUUUAGUUUGGGAUAACAGCUGGAAACGGCUGCUAAUACCAAAUACGCCCUUCGGGGGAAAGAUUUAUCGCUAAAGGAUCGGCCCGCGUAAGAUUAGGUAGUUGGUGGGGUAAUGGCCUACCAAGCCUACGAUCUUUAGCUGGUCUGAGAGGAUGAUCAGCCACACUGGAAUUGAGACACGGUCCAGACUCCUACGGGAGGCAGCAGUGGGGAAUAUUGGACAAUGGGGGAAACCCUGAUCAAGCCAUGCCGCGUGAGCGAUGAAGGCCUUAGGGUUGUAAAGUUCUUUUGUCAGGGAAGAUGAUGACGGUACCUGACGAAUAAGCACCGGCUAACUUCGUGCCAGCCGCCGCCGUAA
rnacentral:rRNA from 1 species